rnacentral:rRNA from 1 species
UGGCCAGACUCCUACGGGAGGCAGCAGUGGGGAAUAUUGGACAAUGGGGGGAACCCUGAUCCAGCGACGCCGCGUGAGUGAAGAAGUCUUUCGGUCUGUAAAGCUCUAUCAGCAGGGAAGAAAGAAAUGACGGUACCUGACUAAGAAGCCCCGGCUAACUACGUGCCAGCAGCCGCAGUAAUACGUAGGGGGCAAGCGUUAUCCGGAUUUACUGGGUGUAAAGGGAGCGUAGACGGCGAUGCAAGUCUGGAGUGAAAGGCGGAGGCCCAACCCCCGGACUGCUUUGGAAACUGUAUAGCUGGAGUGCAGGAGAGGUAAGUGGAAUUCCUAGUGUAGCGGUGAAAUGCGUAGAUAUUAGGAGGAACACCAGUGGCGAAGGCGGCUUACUGGACUGUAAAUGACGCUGAGGCUCGAAAGCGUGGGGAGCAAACAGGAUUAGAUACCCCCGUACC